AUGGGCUCUCUGAAGUUCUACGGUGUCUCAAUGGGGCUUGGCUGCACGACGCCGUGUGUCGGCGGCUCCGUCAGCGCCGUCUGUCCUUCCUUCCCCACAGGGCUGAUGGCAGCCGUGACGUUGGACGAGUCUGGGGGCGGCCUCCAGGCACCCGGAGGAGGGAUCAGCCUCGUCUGCAAGGGCUCUGGAUUCACCUUCAGCAGUUAUGCCAUGCACUGGGUGCGACAGGCACCAGGCAAGGGGCUGGAAUACGUCGCCAGUAUUAACAGUGGUGGUAGUAGCACAUACUACGCGCCGGCGGUGAAGGGCCGUGCCACCAUCUCCAGGGACAACGGGCAGAGCACAGUGAGGCUGCAGCUGAACAACCUCAGGGCUGAGGACACCGCCACCUACUACUGCGCCAAAGAUGGUGAUGAUUGUGGUGGUGCUUGUUGUGGUUAUGCUGCUGGUGGUGACAUGGACAUCACAGGGGUAUGUUUUCAUCUGCAUCUGGGAAGGUUCCAGCUGGGACGCAGAGCUCUGUGCUGGGAGCAGAGAGUUUUAUCCCCAGCUACACUGUCUCCAUUACCAUCACCAUUUCCAUACCUGUAUCCAUGUCUAUUUCAAGGCGCGUAUCCAUAACCAUGACCAUAACCA